AACGGGCGCCGACAACUACUGGACACUCCCAGAAGCACUACUUGAGGUAAACCAUCACCAUCACAACAAACGCUAAGCCAUGGGAGGUGAUUGGUCCAACUCUCAACCCUGCCCACCUUCUCCUCCUACUUUUCCUGAGGAAUGGAGGAAAAUACCAUGGGGGU